UCGCUGCGGCCGCUCUCAGGGGAAACCGCCCGCGCACCGCGCGGACGGGCUCUGGGCCUGGGGGGUGGAACCUAUGCGGCUUUCCCUUCACAUCUUGCCCUCCCGGAGCUUGGCGGUGCUCCGGGGAGUCAACACAGGGGGAUAGAGCAGCUUUCCCUCACUAAAACCCAGUGCGGAGCCCUUCCCCUCCGCCCUGCAUCCUGUCGUGAGGCACAGAUGGUCCGUCCCUCCAUUCCCCCCUCGCGGUCCCCUCGCUGCCCGGCUGAUGCCUUUGUCCCUCCGCAGGGUGUCCCGAGGAUCCGGCGGGCCCUCGCCAUGCUCCCGCUGGGCAGCAGGCCGCGCGCGGCGGGCCCGGGCCGGCAGCAGCGCCGGCGGUCUGAGGGGCACACCGGGAUCCGCGCUCCUCCUGCAGCCUGGGGCGGAGGCCUCACUUAGCAACCUCGUGCUUGAAAUGUUUUAGACAUGGGUAGUCACACCUAAAUGUGAAGCAGUGCUCAGGACUUCUUAGGAAUCAAUGCCUUCUACUGGCAGGGAUGAAGAGAGCAUGUGCCAGGAACUGACAUUAAACAUCAGUUUGAUUUCCUGAGUGGAUGAUUUCUGACUUCAUACGAGAUGAUUCCAGUUGUCACCUCUUAAGUAUCAUCUUGGAAGUAGAAUUGAGACAAGCAAUGGCUUAAAUGGUAGAUCUUCAAUGAUCAUGUUGAAAUGGGCAUCUCACCAUUUGUUAAAACAGAUUUCCUAACAAAAAUUGCUGUAAUUUGACUGUUUGUGGAUUAAUUGAAAUAAAUUAUAAGAAUUAAUUAAAAUAAGAGUAUGCCACCCAAA